rnacentral:lncRNA from 14 species
CAAACAGUGUGUUUAAUGUUAGAUGCGGUGUUCGUUGACAGAUUAUGUUCUAUAAAGCCCCUCUUUGUGAUGGCACGACUGCUCCAACACAGGCUCGUUCAUGUCUCUAUUUGUACUGGUCAGCAGACGCUGUGCAGCCAGGCACUUCUGCCUUCCCUUCACCACACUGAUUUCCCCCCCGGGGCCGGAGGAGCAGCACACAUGCCUUGCCGCAGAGACCGACAGUACCACCGAAGUCCACUAGAUGGCACCCUUUGGCUACAGUCAACGCUCAGCAGGCAAACCUAUCCGGGGGUAGAAGCGCUGCUUACUGCAAGGUGUUUGCAAAAUGACCUAAGGACAUGGAACUGUUGGAAUAAGUCCAGAGGAGGCCACGAGGAUGAUCAGAGGCUGGAGUACCUUCUGUAUGAAGACAGGCUGAGAAAGUUGGGGCUGUUCAGCCUGGAGAACAGAAGGCUGCGUGGAGACCCCAGAGCAACCUUCCAGUAUCUGAAGGUGGGCUAUAGGGAUGUUCGGGAGGGACUAUUCAUUAGGGACUGUAAUGAUAGGACAAGGGGUAACGGGUUCAAACUUAAACAGAGGACGUUUAGAUUGGA